AUAAUAAAUAGUCUUUUGAUUGAAGGCUAGAAUGAAUGAUUUAAUGAGGUAAAUUCUGUCUCGUAUAAAUUAUUUUGAAUUUAAUUUUUAAGUUAAAAAGCUUAAAUAAUAUUAAAGGACGAGAAGACCCUAUAGAACUUUAUAAUAAUUUUUAAUUAUAAUUUUAAUUUUAAUUAUUAUUAUUAUUAUUAUUUUAUUGGGGCAAUAAAAAAAUUAGAUUAACUUUUUUAUUUUUAUUACAAUAAUUAUUGAUUUUUUGAUCCUAAAAUUUUAGAUUAAUAGAUUAAGUUACCUUAGGGAUAACAGCGUUAUUUUUUUUUAGAGUUCUUAUCGAUAAAAGAGAUUGC
rnacentral:rRNA from 1 species